ACGGAGGAUGCGAGCGUUAUCCGGAUUUAUUGGGUUUAAAGGGUGCGUAGGCGGACUGAUAAGUCAGCGGUAAAAUUGCGGGGCUCAACCCCGCCGAGCCGUUGAAACUGUCGGUCUUGAGUGAGCGAGAAGUAUGCGGAAUGCGUGGUGUAGCGGUGAAAUGCAUAGAUAUCACGCAGAACCCCGAUUGCGAAGGCAGCAUACCGGCGCUCAACUGACGCUGAGGCACGAAAGUGCGGGGAUCAAACAG
rnacentral:rRNA from 1 species